AGUCCACAUCCAUGUGACACUAUUCAAACAUUUCUGGCUCCGGUUUGCCACAAUCACUCAAUUACGAUAUGUGAGUUUUGGGAAUGUGGCAAUGUAAAGUGUGUGGAACAGAAUUAUCCAGUAGGAGGAAGACGAAUGGUAACCCUGAAGAGGCACAUCCUCAUCUAAGAAAAGUAGAGAAAAAUGUCAAGUCCGGCCAUCCUGAGGAUUGUUUUUGGUGGGGAUGACGAUGCAAGAAAACUUGCACUUAAGACAGGAAUCCCAAAGUCUGUGGAUGACCUUGUCCUUGAAAUAAUGACUGUUUUUUGGGGUGAAGCAAAAGUUCAGGCUCCAGUACAAAGAUAAGGACUUUGGAAAUGAAUACAUGAAUCUCAUGUCAACCAGUCAAAUUGAAGACAGGGAUACCCUGAAACUGA